CUUUUUACGUGCCACCGGUACGGGGGCCAGUCGAGGCGUGCCUCACACUAUUUCAAAGGACUAGUCUUGACACACAUACUGUCAUGCUAAAUCUGUCUGAAGAUUAGGUCACAGGUACAAGUGUCAGUGGAAUAUUGUGGUACAUGGCUUUGUGGCAAGACGUUUGCUUCCCAACCACAUGGUUACAGGUUCUGUCCCACUGUAUGGCACCUUGGGCCAGUAUCUUCUUCUGUUGCACUUGAUUGACCAAAGUUUUCUGAGUGGAUUUGGUUGACAGAAACUGAAAGAAGCCUGUCAGUGUGUCCACUUGUCUUAACAUCAUGCAAUAGUUGAAAAAUGGUUGUCAGUGCUGUGUCAUUCAUUUCCAAUAUUCUGUGAGAACAUGUCUGGCCUUGCAGAAAUAUUACCUUGUUUGGAAACAGGUAUGGGUUGGUGACAAGAAGGGCAUCCAGCUGUAGAAAACCUGCCUCAGUAAACACCAUCUGAUCCAUACAAGCAUGCAAAGUGGACAUUAAAAUGAUGAUGAUAUAAUAUAUAUAAAGAAUAUGAGGGGUUUAGUUCACUGAUGAUCUAAACUAGGCCUGGCUAACUCGAAUUACAUCGCAGGCCACUUUAACCACAGAGAGUUUUUUGAGGGCCGCUUGUAUACUGACAGAAUUGGAAGCAUUUUGCUUUCUCAUGUUAUUAUUACAAUAAUGAAUGAAUGACCGUUGAUUGAACAUGAAAUAUUAUCGUUGCAAAAACAGUAGUACCUUUCUUUUACACUUUUCAUUACCAUCUUGAAUUUCUGAUAAAUUUUUUUAAAUGUUUGUUUAAAUAAACCUAUUUAAAGAAAGUAUCAAGUGAGCCGCAAGAGAAAAGUCUGCAGGCUGCAUGUGGCCCAUGGGCCUCAGGUUGGCCAGCUCUGAUCUAAACCAAUAGGUAUGCUGCGUAAGUGCUAUAAUUGGUCAUCUGUUAGGUUCCAAGUUCACAGCUGAGGCUGGCGCUAGGGAUCUGUUUUGAAUGCUGAUACCUACAUACCAUAUAUAUAUAUACAUAUAUAUAUAUAUAUAUAUAUAUAUAUACACACACACAUAGGCAACCACCUACAGGUAAAUAAUAUGCUGUAUAAUGGAACCAAGUCACUUGAGAUACAUUAGCACUGAAAGGUACACCAUAACAAGUUGUAUAGUGUCUCACCUGCGAGGAAAAGAUGCAAGGAUGGGUCGAAACGAUUGUUGUGAUUAAUAAAAAAUCUUGUGAAUUCAU